UGUCUGCUGGAAAGGUUAUCAGUGUUGUAGCUGACCUGCAGAGACAAGGUUGAGCCCAGAAGCCUUAAUAGAAAAGGUUUUCAGCUAUGACUGCUGUACUGGAUUGCAUUGUAAUGGUCAAAUCAGCCAAAUCGGUUCCAGAUCGUAUUGAUUGAGCAGGACUUAAUCGUUCCAAAAACCGUAUUGACUGAGCAGGCAGAGCUUAAUCACGCUAAACACCGUGUAUGGUGCUACAACCGGGGAGCAUCCUGCAUCCCAGGCUCUUAUCCUGGGCCUUCAGAUACUCCCAAAUCCAUUGGCAGACACACAACAGGCCAAGCAAGAUCAAUGCCACUUGCAGUAUGUCCUCUACCAGGUGUUACAGAUCUAACUCCCAGAAUCGGCUCCAGCUCUUGAAAACAGACCAUAAGUUAUGA